rfam:Triticum aestivum genome assembly, contig: Triticum_aestivum_CS42_TGACv1_scaffold_114577_2AS
UUUGUACUCCCUCUAUCCGGAAUUACUUGUAGUAGAAAUGGAUAUAUCUAGAUGUAUUUUUAGUUCUAGAUACGUCCAUUUCUAUCCAUUUGUGCGACAAGUAUUUCGGGACUGAGGAGUAUCAU